rnacentral:rRNA from 1 species
UGGGGAAUCUUAGACAAUGGGCGCAAGCCUGAUCUAGCCAUGCCGCGUGAUCGAUGAAGGCCUUAGGGUUGUAAAGAUCUUUCAGUGGGGAAGAUAAUGACUGUACCCACAGAAGAAGCCCCGGCUAACUCCGUGCCAGCAGCCGCGGUAAUACGGAGGGGGCUAGCGUUGUUCGGAAUUACUGGGCGUAAAGCGCACGUAGGCGGACAUUUAAGUCAGAGGUGAAAUCCCAGGGCUCAACCUUGGAACUGCCUUUGAUACUGGAUGUCUUGAGGUCGAGAGAGGUGAGUGGAAUUCCGAGUGUAGAGGUGAAAUUCGUAGAUAUUCGGAGGAACACCAGUGGCGAAGGCGGCUCACUGGCUCGAUACUGACGCUGAGGUGCGAAAGCGUGGGGAGCAAA